rnacentral:rRNA from 1 species
CGGCAUGCCUUACACACUGCAAGUCGAACGGCAGCACGGGAGCAAUCCUGGUGGCGAGUAGGCGAACGGGUGAGUAAUAUAUCGAAACGUGCUCAGUCGUGGGGGAUAACGUAGCGAAAGCUACGCUAAUACCGCAUACGAUCUACGGAUGAAAGCGGGGGAUCGCAAGACCUCGCGCGAUUGGAGCGGCCGAUAUCAGAUUAGGUAGUUGGUGAGGUAAAGGCUCACCAAGCCGACGAUCUGUAGCUGGUCUGAGAGGACGACCAGCCACACUGGGACUGAGACACGGCCCAGACUCCUACGGGAGGCAGCAGUGGGGAAUUUGGACAAUGGGCGCAAGCCUGAUCCAGCAAUGCCGCGUGCAGGAUGAAGGCCUUCGGGUUGUAAACUGCUUUGUACGGAACGAAACGGUGAGCUCUAAUACAGUUUGCUAAUGACGGUACCGUAAGAAUAAGCACCGGCUAACUACGUG